GACGAACGCUGGCGGCGUGCUUAACACAUGCGAGUCGAACGGUGAAGCGCCUUCCUUUUUGGUGGGUGUGGAUGAGUGGCGAACGGGUGAGUAACACGUGAGUAACCUGCCCCCUUCUUCUGGAUAACCGCAUGAAAGUGUGGCUAAUACGGGAUAUUCUGGGUCUGUCGCAUGAUGGGUCUGGGAAAGAUAUUGUUUCGGUGGGGGAUGGGCUCGCGGCCUAUCAGCUUGUUGGUGGGGUGAUGGCCUACCAAGGCGGUGACGGGUAGCCGGCCUGAGAGGGUGGACGGGCACACUGGGACUGAGACACGGCCCAGACUCCUACGGGAGGCAGCAGUGGGGAAUACUGCACAAUGGGCGCAAGCCUGAUGCAGCGACGCCGCGUGAGGGAUGGAGGCCUUCGGGUUGUGAACCUCUUUCGCCAGUGAAGCAGGCCUGCCUCGUUUGUGGGUGGGUUGACGGUAGCUGGAUAAGAAGCGCCGGCUAACUACGU
rnacentral:rRNA from 1 species